rnacentral:rRNA from 1 species
CCAUGAAGCUGGAUUCGCUAGUAAUCGCGCAUCAGCCACGGCGCGGUGAAUACGUUCCCGGGCCUUGUACACACCGCCCGUCAAGCCAUGGAAGCCGGGAGUGCCUGAAGUGCGUGACCGCAAGGAACGCCCUAGGGUAAAACCGGUGACUGGGGCUAAGUCGUAACAAGGUACC